UACGUAGGUGGCAAGCGUUGUCCGGAUUUACUGGGCGUAAAGAGCGCGCAGGCGGUCGUUCAAGUCGCGUGUGAAAGCCCCCCGGCUCAACUGGGGAGGGUCACGCGAUACUGAUCGACUCGAAGGCAGGAGAGGGUAGUGGAAUUCCCGGUGUAGUGGUGAAAUGCGUAGAUAUCGGGAGGAACACCAGUGGCGAAGGCGACUACCUGGCCUGUUUCUUGACGCUGAGGCGCGAAAGCUAGGGGAGCGAACAGG
rnacentral:rRNA from 1 species